rnacentral:rRNA from 1 species
GACGAACGCUGGCGGCGUGCUUAACACAUGCAAGUCACGGGGGCCUGGUUUCGGCCAGGUAACCGGCGAACGGGUGCGUAACACGUGAGCGACCUGCCUUCCCGCGGGGGAUAGCCGGCCCAACGGCCGGGUAAUACCGCAUACGCUUCGGCGCCGGCAUCGGCGCCGUCAAGGAAACUUCCGGGGCGGGGAGAGGGCGUCGCGGCCUAUCAGCUAGUUGGGGGGUACGGG